CCCGGAUGGAGGUGUAAUGCCACGGGAGCUUAAAUAGACGCAACUCUCACUCGAUGCGACGGAAAAGACAACGCUGAAACAAGUUUUCACUUCGAGUUUUUUGAUCAUCAGAUUCUAAACUACGACGUGCAAAACGCGGCACUAGCUUAAAAGCAGCACCCACUCGACGAGACUGAAGAAACGUGUUCGUUUCGCCGUUUUCAUUCAUCAGAUUCGAAACGAAGAUGUAUAAUCGCAUCGAAACGUAGAAGAACUGUAACAACUGGAGCGGAGCGAGUGAAAUGCAUCCGUUUGAGCGAGGCUGAACACAAAGUUAAAAAGAUCCAGCAGACACUUGGAGUCGGAAAUACGCAAAUCUACGAAAGGCAUCGAUUCAACUCCUGAUGACAAGCCACCGUCCAGCAAGGAAGCAAUGCAAAUGGCAGCAAAAAUCCUUCAGUAUGCACAAUUACCAGAUAUCGGUGAUCAACGGGACAGAUACUUGCAACUAGCAAGAAAACUGAAUGACACGCAGGCAAACAUUGUCGUAAACCAAAGAAUGCAUCCAACAAAACAAUCAAAUACAUAUUUUUUUUCCCCAAGACAGAAAAAAAUAAACAUUAAAAUACUGUACGUAUUUUACUGUUGUGAUUUUUUUGGGAUACACCUGUAUUGCAGUUUUUAUUAUAUAAACAGUUUUUGGACAGUAUAUUUUUGUAUUUAGUUUUGUUGUUAUUGUGUUGUUACACGUGCAUUUUGUCACCAUACUUGCAGGUUCAUAAAGGACAUGUACCAUGCUCAUUUCCCAAAUGAGGAAUUUCUGUUGUAAGGACAAAUUGGACAGCGCAAACACGAGUCCGUACUAGAGAAUAUUUACUGUAUAUGGGGAAAAUUAAUGGAAAAAUAUGCUCUAAAGUGGGAAAUGGCAUUUAAUCCGACCUUACACUUUAAGGAUCAGACAGAUUUGGCUGCAUGCUGAGUAAUUUUCUUGCAAUGCCAUUUUCCCAAAACAAUUGGAAAAUGUUGACAUCUCAUGAACAUAUCUUUUAUAAAACAUUUCACAAAACACCUUGGACUUCCUUUGACAAAUGUGCAAUUUACUAGUGAUGGGUCGAUGAGGCCUCAUGAGGCGUGUCGACACAAUGACACACUGUGUUGAUACUGUACCGAUACUGUGUCGCUGACCACUGCCACCUGCUGGACCUUCAAAAUCCCUGCAGCCAACCCACUUGACAGACUGAACAAACUGAUUUGAUGAUGACGUGUAUACAAUGCACUACCCAAUGACUGGUACUGAAUGAGUUAAAAGCUCAGUGUAGCCACAAGCGCCAUUGUUUAUGUUGUUGUUUAUGCUGUUUAUAUUGUCUAUACUGUUCAGAUUACAUGUCUUUUUUUAUAUAGUGUAGCUGCUAUCCUUUCUUAGCUGUGUGUGUUUAAUGCACAGCAUGUUUACAUGCAUGUAUGCACUGAGGAUUGAAAGGAAGAAAUUUCAUCUAUGCUGCAUGUCAUACAUAAAGCAUAUUUGACAAUAAAGAUGACAUUGACCCUUGACAAUAUCAUUCACAUCCAUGCAUUCAUAUUGUAUCAUUCAAUGUGUUUCAAUAAUGUGAAAUUCAUGUGAAUGAGGAUGCUUGUGGGUUUUGUCUUCACAAUUUUUGAUUUAGAAAAAUAAGAUGCUCCAGUGUUUUAAAUUUCAGUCUGUUGCAUUUAAUGCAUGCUAUUUCCCCUGUUGUGGAGAAGACACACACACAAUGGAAUAAGACAUGUCAAAAAUCCGAGAGGCACUUGGUGAGACAAGGAGAUUUUAAUGAAUACCUUAUUCUCCAAAAUGAGAUCAAAAUGACUCUACGCGGCGGACAAUUUGUAUUUGUCCGGAAGCUGCUCCAUAAUAUGCACGUACUGUAGCAACGUCACUCGAGUGAAGCGCGUCUCAGCACUCAGCAGUCGAUAGUCUGCUGCUCUCAGCUGUGCGCGCGAGCACGUACUUGCGGCGCCGACCCAACCCACGCCACAUAUUAAGCUUUGAACUACGACAACAGCUAAACUAGCCUAGCCGAUGUAAUGAUGGUCAGCAGACAAGGUUUACGUUUUAUGUGACUUUUAAUAGCAACGUGGCAGUCAUCAAACAUGCGGUGUGCUCACUCGCAGUCACUUUCUGGAACUCCCCCUUAGAGGCGGGACCUCUCAAUCAACUGGAGUAUGACGUACAGUACAAACGUUCAUAAAACACUUCUCGUAUAAUAAUAGCCUAUUAUAUGACAGCCCGCAUGACGCUAGAAGUCCGACGGACACAUUUUUUCUGAUAAUCAGUGUGUUUUCUGUGUUGCCCAAACAUAUAUUUUUAUUCAAGCGACGGUGGGGUCUAGCUUGUUUCGGCAAUCGGCAUCGUGUCGCCAGACGCACUUCCCUAGGAUACACUGUGCGGGCUUUUGCUGCGUCAACGCCCCCUGCACUGAGUCGACGCCCUCUGGACUAAGUGCCGCAGCUUGGACUGUGCCAAGCAGCAGAUGCAGUCUAAACUGCACCGGUGCAGUUCACUUGUCAAUUAGCAGCCUGGACUGUGUCAACGCAGCCGAUGUGUCAAUUAGCAGCCUGGACUGUGUCAACGCAGCCGAUGUGUCAAUUAGCAGCCGGGACUGUGUCAACGCAGCCGAUGCAGUCUAAACUGCGCCGGUGCAGUUCAUGUGUUAAUCACGUGACGUAAUGAAGCGGCACAUGCACCGACACGUGGUUUGCUCUGUGAGCCCGGCGCAUGCAUCAAUGCAUCGGUGUCGCUGGACCCAUCUCUACAAUUUACUUUGAUCAUUUAUGCAUUGCAACUGAUCCCACUGAUUGUACAAAGGCACAAAACUUUUAACAAGUAAUUGCCAUUAAAAAAUAUAGUCAUGCAUUUUGAGAUGAAACGAGAUUUCUAAAGAAAGGGAUUUUUGAACCAUUUACACAUGUGCAAAUAAAAUCUAAAUGUAAUCCCUGUCUACACUUUACAAACUAAAGAGAAAAUAGUCUGCCCCCUAGCGGAUAAUCCAUUAAUUGCUUUUUAUUAAAAUUAUUCAUUCCGUGUCUUUUAUGCAUUUUUCCCGACAUUUAAAUUGUCCUCCUCGGGGGCCGGUAAUGGCCUGCGUGCCGUAUAUUUAACACCUCUGUUCUUGACUGUAACAGCCUGUUUGCAUUGGUGGAUGGAGCAAAGAGAAGCCAUCAAAUUGUGAGUGUUUGUAUGUGCAUGUUUUUUUUUCUUCGCUUUCUGAACUGCAGUUGAACUGUGCUG